rnacentral:rRNA from 1 species
CGUGCUUAACACAUGCAAGUCGAGCGAGGACAUUUAGCAAUAGAUGUUCUAGCGGCGGACGGGUGAGUAACGCGUGAGCAAUCUGUCCCAGACAGGGGGAUAACGUACCGAAAGGUGCGCUAAUACCUGAUAAUACUGCAUAACUACUGUUGUGUAGUCAAAGAAGGCCUCUGUUUACAAGCUUUUGCUGAAGGAUGAGUCCGCGUACCAUUAGCUGGUUGGUGGGGUAAUGGCCUACCAAGGCUACGAUGGUUAGCUGGUCUGAGAGGAUGAUCAGCCACACUGGAACUGAGACACGGUCCAGACUCCUACGGGAGGCAGCAGUGGGGAAUUUUGCGCAAUGGGCGCAAGCCUGACGCAGCGACGCCGCGUGAGGGAUGAAGGUCUUCGUGAUUGUAAACCUCUGUCAGGAAGGAUUAAAGGUAUGGGUGUGAAUAUCGCCCAUGCUUGACUUAACUUCCAGAGGAAGCCCCGGCUAACUACGUG